GACGAACGCUGGCGGCGUGCCUAAUACAUGCCAGUUGAGCGCUGAAGGUUGGUACUUGUACCAACUGGAUGAGCAGCGAACGGGUGAGUAACGCGUGGGGAAUCUGCCUUUGAGCGGGGGACAACAUUUGGAAACGAAUGCUAAUACCGCAUAAAAACUUUAAACACAAGUUUUAAGUUUGAAAGAUGCAAUUGCAUCACUCAAAGAUGAUCCCGCGUUGUAUUAGCUAGUUGGUGAGGUAAAGGCUCACCAAGGCGAUGAUACAUAGCCGACCUGAGAGGGUGAUCGGCCACAUUGAGACUGAGACACGGCCCAAACGCCUACGGGAGGCAGCAGUAGGGAAUCUUCGGCAAUGGACGAAAGUCUGACCGAGCAACGCCGCGUGAGUGAAGAAGGUUUUCGGAUCGUAAAACUCUGUUGGUAGAGAAGAACGUUGGUGAGAGUGGAAAGCUCAUCAAGUGACGGUAACUACCCAGAAAGGGACGGCUAACUACGUG
rnacentral:rRNA from 1 species